UCAGAGGCGAAAGCUAGGGUAGCAAAAGGGAUUAGAUACCCCUGUAGUCCUAGCCGUAAACGAUGGAUACUACAUGUUGUGCUUUGUACAGUAUGGUAGCUAACGCGUUAAGUAUCCCGCCUGGGGAGUACGCUCGCAAGGGUGAAACUCAAAGGAAUUGACGGGGGCCCGCACAAGCGGUGGAGCAUGUGGUUUAAUUCGAUGCAACGCGAAGAACCUUACCAGGGCUUGACAUACUACAAAUUCUUUUGAAAGAAAGAAGUGCCUUCGGGAAUGUAGAUACAGGUGGUGCAUGGCUGUCGUCAGCUCGUGCCGUGAGAUGUUGGGUUAAGUCCCGCAACGAGCGCAACCCUCGUUUUUAGUUGCCGUUUUCGGAUCUCUAGAAAGACUGCCGGUGACAAACCGGAGGAAGGUGAGGAUGACGUCAAGUCAGCAUGCCCCUUAUGUCCUGGGCUACACACGUGCUACAAUGAUAAAAACAAAGAGUCGUAAAUCCGCGAGGACUAACUAAUCUCAUAAAUUUUAUCUCAGUUCGGAUUGUAGGCUGCAACUCGCCUACAUGAAGUUGGAAUCGCUAGUAAUCGCUGGUCAGCUAUACAGCGGUGAAUUCGUUCCCGGGCCUUGUACACACCGCCCGUCACACCAUGGGAGCUGGUCAUACCCAAUACCGUUAGUUUAACCAUUAGGAGGACGGCGUUUAAGGUAGGGCUAGU
rnacentral:rRNA from 1 species